CCCGUCUCCAGGCUCUCAGCGUGUUUCUCCGUGCCGGGGCUCCAGUCUUUGAAGGUUGCCAGUACGGUAUUCGUUUCGUCCUUCCUCACGGCGUAACCGUCACACCCUCGAGACGUGCAAACGGCACCGCAGGGUGUGGAGAAGGCCGAAGGAGAAGCUGGGUGGGGUAGCCUUGGGGUGUGGACAACUGCCAACUAGGAUAAAAGGCCUUGGGCUACGGGACGGAGUGCUACCGGAAGCUUGCCCCGUGACGACACUUUUUUCAAGGCGGAAGUUCUCUCUGCAGCGCGGGGAGAAGAGGGAUGGGGAUCAAAAAUAUCAGAGAGGAACUAAAUCUGAUGGUAAAGCUUAGAGAUCUCAAGAUUAGCUGGUGUUCGGCUGGUCUAUGUUGGACUCAGCUGAACUUUGUUCCAGGCUGCAGCUUGGGUUCAAAUCUAUUCCAUGUAUCUCUCAUCUUCCUGCCACCAGUAAGCUACCCAGGACAUGUGCUCUUCAUGGUAAUGAGUUUCAUGGUAAUGGCAGCCAACAUAUGCCUUGGUAUGUGUUGAGAAAAUACGUUCACAUAAAUAGAUGGUAAUGGAAGCUGUUUCAUUUUAGCAAGGUUUCUCAGUUCUUUGAACUUCAGGUGCCAAUCUUAAAAGAAAAAAGAGUAGUUUGAACUUGAAGUAAACAGAAGAAAAGAAAUAUUAAUGACCAGAGUAGAAAUUAAUGAAAUAGUAGACAAAAGACAACAAGGAAAAUCAAUGAAACCAAAAACUGAUUCUUUGAGAAAAAUCUAUACAGAUGUUAAGCCUCUAGUCAAACUGAUAAGCAAAAAA